CAGAAAUUCAAGCCACCAGAAAUUCAAGCUUUCCAACUAACAGGGACCAAAUGGGACCGUUCUAAGAUAUCCUAAAAGAUUUGGGAGUUAGAGGAAGUAAACUAAGAGAAUUAUAUUACAAAGGGUACAAGACCACAAGACAACAACCGACUCCAGAAUUCUUGGACCUCCGCCUUCCGUACAAGGCCCAGCCGCCCCGUCCACUGCCACCACCAACGCCGCCGCCAUCUUACACUGGCCAGCGGCCGCCACCACCACCGCCUCCGCUCUCUGCGCUUGCGCCUGCGCUGCCACGCUUUCCGGCCCCGUUUGCGACGAUGUGCUCGAGAAGACUGAGGGAAGAGUGGUCGCGCGAGCUCACGGCUCGCAACCCUCCUCGAAGGACGCACAAAGGGCGGGGCUUAAGGCCAACGGAAAACAGAGCGAGGGGCGCCUGCGCAUUACCGAAGAGGCAAAGUUGUUUUUGUAGUUUCUUUGGGCUUGCUUAAUCUUGUGAUACUCAAAACAAAUGCAAGUUAGGGGCUUCCCAGAGUUGUGAUAGAAAUAAACUAAAUUUCCAGGGGA
rnacentral:antisense_RNA from 1 species